UGUUCUACUAUGAUUAGCACAUCAUAUUCUACCAUUAAAACAGUAACUCAUUAAAUAAAAAAUGAUUUUUCGAAUUAAAAAAAAGGCCGAAAAUAGUGCGUAAAUAAAAAAUAAUUAUAAAAAAAUAUAAAAUCAUAUCCAAAAUCUGUAAAAUGGACAUUAAUAUGUUCUACUAUGAUUAACACAUCAUAUUCUACCAUUAAAACAACAACACAUUAAAUAAAAAAUGAUUUUUUGAAUUAAAAAAGCAGGGCCGAAAAUAUUGCGUAAAUAGAAAAAAAUUAUAAAAAAAUAUAAAAUCACAAUAAGAAUCUGUAAAAUGGACAUUAAUAUGUUUUAUUAUGAUUAACACAUCAUAUUCUACCAUUAAAACAGCAACAUAUUAAAUAAAAAAUGAUUUUUUUGAAUUUUUUUUAAAAAAGGGCUAAAAAUAGUGCGUAAAUAGAAAAAAAUUAUUAAAAAAAUAUAAAAUCACAAUAAAAAUCUGUAAAAUGGACAUUAAUAUGUUCUAUUAUGAUUAACACAUCAUAUUCUACCAUUAAAACAGCAACACAUUAAAUAAAAAAUGAUUUUUCGAAUUUAAAAAAAAGGGCCGAAAAUAAAAAUAAUUAUAAAAAAAUAUAAAAUCACAUCCAAAAUCUGUAAAAUGGACAUUAAUAUGUUCUACUAUGAUUAACACAUCAUAUUCUACCAUUAAAACAGCAACACAUUAAAUAAAAAAUGAUUUUUCCAAUUUAACAAAAAAGGGCCGAAAAGAGUGCGUAAAUAGAAAAAAAUAUAUAUAUAUAUAUCUAAUCAGAAUAAGAAUCUGUAAAAUGGACAUUAAUAUGUUCUAUUAUGAUUAACACAUCAUAUUCUACCAUUAAAACAACAACACAUUAAAUAAAAAAUGAUUUUUCGAUUUUUUUUAAAAAAGGGCCGAAAAUAUUGCGUAAAUAGAAAAAAAUUAUAAAAAAAUAGAAAAUCACAAUAAGAAUCUGUAAAAUGGACAUUAAUACGUUCUAUUAUGAUUAACACAUCAUAUUCUACCAUUAAAACAGCAACACAUUAAAUAAAAAAUGAUUUUUCGAAUUUAAAACGAAG